CCAAACACAUAGUCAAGAAACUCAUUUUUUUCAGAAGUCCUAAGAGCUGAGUUUCUUAUGAGAGUCUGGUCCACUCCAAGGAGAGAAACCUCAAUUUAUGAAAAAUAUUAUUACAACUGUCAUGCUGGCUGAUGUCUUCUGCAUUUACAAGAGAACAAUAGAAAAUCAAUUAUGCUGACAACCCCCCUUGUGGGGUGAAACUGUGAAGGCUUCCCCAACAGACAUAACAGAUGUUUCUUGAAGACUGAUUUCUGAAGAGACCGGGAUGAAACACGAGAGGACUGCGGGCUCUGCCAGCUGAGAAUAAAGAAAUAAAAAACAGUGCCAUCUUGUGUGCUGAAGCAGUACAUUAUCAGUGCUUAUGCUCAGUAUCUCACUGCUGAAAUGCCAUAAAGCUGAAGCUGCAGCUCAGGAUGGCUGUGUAGCACAAAGUAUCACCCCUUGGGAAAGCCAUUUUCAAGAAACAAGGUGUAUUUUCUGGAAACGUAUUCUCUGAAGUUAUGCCGUCUGCCCAGGCAGGCCUACAGUAUUCUGAAUGCUGCCAAGAGGAAAGAGGAAAAUCUUUGACACGAAGAAAAAAAUACAGGUAACUUCUU